rnacentral:rRNA from 2 species
UCCCCGGAUGCCUUGUGAAUAGCGGUGAAAUUCCAAUCGAACCUGGAUAUUGCUGGUUCUCCUCGAAAUAGCUUUAGGGCUAGCGUGUGAUGUUAAACUUUGGUGGUAGAGCACUGAAUAUGGAAUGGCGGCGCCUAGCUGUACUGACUAUAAUCAAACUCCGAAUACCAUUGUGUAUUAUCAUGCAGUCGGAACAUCGGUGAUAACGUCGAUGCUCGCGAGGGUAACAACCCAGAUCGUCAGCUAAGGUCCCAAAAUUUAUGUUAAGUGAUAAAGGUUGUGAGGUUUCUCAAACAACUAGGAAGUUGGCUUAGAAGCAGCCAUCUUUUAAAGAGUGCGUAAUAGCUCACUAGUCAAGAGACCUUGCGCCGACAAUGUAACGGGACUAAACAUAAUACCGAAGCUACGGGCAUUAUUAAAUGCGUUAGAGGAGCGUUCUAAGGACGGCGAAGCUAAACCGUGAGGAUUAGUGGAGUGCUUAGAAGUGAGAAUGCCGGUAUGAGUAACGAUUCAGAGUGAG